rnacentral:rRNA from 1 species
GAUGAACGCUGGCGGCGUGCUUAACACAUGCAAGUCGAACGAAGCAUUUCGGUCUUAAUCUUCGGAAGCGGACUGAUCUGACUGAGUGGCGGACGGGUGAGUAACGCGUGGGUAACCUGCCCUGUACAGGGGGAUAACAGUUAGAAAUGACUGCUAACACCGCAUAAGCGCACAGAAAGGCAUCUUUCGGUGUGAAAAUAUUUGUAGGUACAGGAUGGGCCCGCGUCUGAUUAGCCAGUUGGCAGGGUAACGGCCUACCAAAGCAACGAUCAGUAGCCGGCUUGAGAGAGUGAACGGCCACAUUGGGACUAAGACACGGCCCAAACUCCUACGGGAGGCAGCAGUGGGGAAUAUUGCACAAUGGGGGAAACCCUGAUGCAGCGACGCCGCGUGAGUGAAGAAGUAUUUCGGUAUGUAAAGCUCUAUCAGCAGGGAAGAUAAUGACGGUACCUGACUAAGAAGCCCCGGCUAACUACGUGCCAGCCGCCGCCGUAA